rnacentral:rRNA from 1 species
UACGAAGGGGGCUAGCGUUGCUCGGAAUCACUGGGCGUAAAGGGUGCGUAGGCGGGUCUUUUAAGUCAGGGGUGAAAUCCUGGAGCUCAACUCCAGAACUGCCUUUGAUACUGAAGAUCUUGAGUUCGGGAGAGGUGAGUGGAACUGCGAGUGUAGAGGUGAAAUUCGUAGAUAUUCGCAAGAACACCAGUGGCGAAGGCGGCUCACUGGCCCGAUACUGACGCUGAUGCACGAAAGCGUGGGGAGCAAACAGG